rnacentral:rRNA from 1 species
UACGAGGGGGGCUAGCGUUGCUCGGAAUCACUGGGCGUAAAGCGCACGUAGGCGGAUCUUUAAGUCAGGGGUGAAAUCCCAAGGCUCAACCUUGGAACUGCCUUUGAUACUGGGGAUCUCGAGUCCGGAAGAGGUUGGUGGAACUCCGAGUGUAGAGGUGAAAUUCGUAGAUAUUCGGAAGAACACCAGUGGCGAAGGCGGCCAACUGGUCCGGUACUGACGCUGAGGUGCGAAAGCGUGGGGAGCAAACAGG